GACGAACGCUGGCGGCGUGCUUAAAACAUGCAAGUCGAACGGUGACACUCCGAGCUUGCUCGGAGUUGAUCAGUGGCGAACGGGUGAGUAACACGUGAGUAACCUGCCCUGGACUCCGGAAUAACCUCGGGAAACCGAAGCUAAUACCGGAUACGAGACGCACAGGCAUCUGUAGCGUCUGGAAAGAUUUAUCGGUCCAGGAUGGACUCGCGGCCUAUCAGCUUGUUGGCGGGGUAACGGCCCACCAAGGCUUCGACGGGUAGCCGGCCUGAGAGGGUGACCGGCCACACUGGGACUGAGACACGGCCCAGACUCCUACGGGAGGCAGCAGUUGGGAAUAUUGCACAAUGGGCGCAAGCCUGAUGCAGCGACGCCGCGUGAGGGAUGACGGCCUUCGGGUUGUAAACCUCUUUCAGCAGGGAAGAAGCGAAAGUGACGGUACCUGCAGAAGAAGCACCGGCUAACUACGUGCCAGCCGCCGCCGUAACAC
rnacentral:rRNA from 1 species